CCGAGAGCUGUAAAAAUCCCCCGGGGUCACAUACAGUUGCAGGUCUGAGCCUCUAAAUCCCAAGAAGAGCAUGUUUUGACUACACAGACUGUGGCUGAGAUUGCAGUGGAAGAGGCUCAGCUAGAGCUGCCAGGAGGGAGCAUUUGUCCAAGUGUGCCCACAGCAGAGAUGCAAGCAGAGAUGCUGGUGUUGCAGUGUGUGCAGGUAACUCUGUAAUGCAGAUUUGGUGAGUCUGAAUGGGCUAUGGCAUAUUUUUAGAUCCUCCCAGGAAGGAGUGUGUAAGCACAAAGCAGAGCUGUACCAGUUCUGAUGUACUGCUGAGCAAGGGUACCCAAAAGGCUGUGCUCAUAAUGUGCCCUUUGUUACUCACACAGACUGAAUUUCUGAUUUCUUGGUUGAUUUGCAGUAAGAAAAAUUGUUUAGUUUCAUGGUAUAUCACAACAUUCAAUGAGCUUGUCCCUUGGGAACACCAAGAGCUUUCAGAUCUUAAUAUAGACAUCUUUCAAAUGAGAUCAUUAACGAGUAUAUAUCUGGAUUGAGAGCCAAUGCAAGCACUUCGAUUUUUUGCCUGCCAAAUUUUCAUUUUUGGCUCCAUUUUCUUCCCAUAUAUUCAAAGAACUGCACCACAUGGAAUCCUUUAAACAAUAGAUGGGAUAACAUAAUUUUUCAAUUGCUCUUGCAAAGGUUUUUAACCACAUAAACUAUUCCUGGGUUCGCUAAGAAGUUACCAUUGCAAAUAAUGUAAUUGUUCCAGACUAAAUUCCUUGCAUUCCAGAAGAACUUUUGAAGCAAAGAGCAUGACUGAUUUGGGAUUUUUAACCAGCCUCUUUAUGGUAAUACUUAGAUGAAUGUAAAUUUUCUCCAAAAGCUUUGCUUUAAAAAUAAAGGACCAAAGCCCAGAAACACUCCUAGCUGCAGAUCCAAUACUUAAUGCUAAUGACCCGUUGAUCUCAAUAGAGAGAAAAUAAACAUUUAAAAAUUAGGAAACUGCACACUUUAUUUUAAACAAUAAAAGAAGGUGAGAAGAACAGUAGACAAAAUCUGGUGAAACUAAUGCAAGCUGUAAAUUCUGGUUUUUCUCUCCUCUUUUGCAAGCAGGACAAGGCUGUUACUUGCCUUUGGAAUGAAGUCAAGGCUCUCUGUCCUGCUCCACCAAAGUUCUCCUUAAAGAUGUGACUUCUGCUUCCUGGGCUUCACCUGGAAUUUAAAACACACUUUUUUUUUCUGUGAGCCUGCAGGAUUACAUUUCAGGCAGAGUGCAAAGUGACAGCUGCUCCUCCACCUGUACUGACACAGCACACACUCUCCAGGAAGAUGCAUCUUCCAUUCGUAUGUGUCUGCUGCAUGUGGUGCUGAUGCUCAAAAUGCCCAUGUUAGGCUUUUAGGCCAAAUAAAUUUGAUAAAAAAUCAUGGGAUUUUAGGAGCAUUAUUUCUGGAGAAGCUAAUUCCAGAAACAGUCUCUGCUCACCUGUGUCACUGAUGCCUUAGCACUGCACUUAUCUAACAUUCACACCACCAGGACUGGAAUUCAGGACUUCUGGUCUCUGCUGGUUCUCUGCUGCAAGACCUUUUCCUCUGACUGAAAACUGCUGCUAAACCUCCUUUAGUUCUUUUAAGAUUUAGCUGAGUCAUGCUGGGAAAUCCUUUGAGAUCAAGGCUAUAAGAACUACAAGUGAGUAGAAUUAAAUGGGACAUUUUGGGAGGCACAGAGGAAGUUACUCAAUUGUUUCAGGUUAGAAUACAUUCUAUUAGAUACUACAUAAACCUUCACCUCUGUCAAGCCCAAUUACUAUCCAGAAAAGAAAGAUUAAGUAAGAACCACACCUAUAAAGCUAGUACAGCUCUAAAUUGAAGAACAAGAAAGGAAAAUAAAAGUACAAACCCCUUGAGAGUUCUUAUAUAUUUCAAACUACAUAUAAAACCCAUUCAGAAUGUAAGCUCAGGAGAUCAGACAGAGACUUGGAAAUGUUGCAAUUCCAAUAGUCAAUAUCCUGUCAUCCAGUCUAUGGAAGUGAUGAAAGUGAAGUUAUACUAAUCCCUUAAUAAACACUUGUAGGUACAGCAGAUAUCAAGCUUGUUAUUAUCUUACUUGCUUUUUGCAGCAGGAGUGGUGCUGCACUGAGUUUGAUCCCUGAAUGACCAGAAUGUGUCAGAGUUUUGCCUCAACAUGAACAAGAUGAAAUUAUUUGCUAAUGUGGGUGCUCUGAGGUGCCCAUAUGAACACACACCAGGCUGGUUUCAAGAGCUCAGUUCCUACACUCAAGACUAGAUUUUCAGGGAGGUUCAUGCACUGAAUGCUUGUUACAUCCAGCUACUUAUAAAAAAGCCUAAGAAAGAGCUAAG